rnacentral:lncRNA from 1 species
CCGUGAGUUGUGAGACCCAAGUAACCUAGUGCUCUGAUACCAACUUGUCACGACCAGGAUUUACUCACCAUCGGGAGUCGUGAUGGCGCCUACUGUCGAAGCUAGGCAAACCAACCCUUAUAAACAUUUCCAGAAAAUUCAAAUCUAAAACAAAUUAAAUGCUAAAAUAAUUAGUUAAAACAUGCGGAAGAGAUAAUAACAAUAACGAAAACAAUAUGCGGAAAACUAACAACCAAUCUCUACCCAGUAUCUGGUG